rnacentral:rRNA from 1 species
GGAUGAGCCUGCGCUCUAUUAGUUAGUUGGUGAGGUAAAGGCUUACCAAGGCGAUGAUAGAUAGGCGGCCUUAACGGGUGGUCGCCCACACUGGGAUUGAGAUACGGCCCAGACUCCUACGGGAGGCAGCAGUCGAGAAUAGUCUACAAUGGACGAAAGUCUGAUAGUGCGACGCCGCGUGAACGAAGAAUCCCUUCGGGGUGUAAAGUUCUUUUAUAUGUGAGCAAUGCUUCCUAGGUGAAUAGUUUAGGGAGAGAGAUAUUAGCAUAUGAAUAAGCAACGGCUAACUCCGUGCCAGCAGCCGCGGUAACACGGGGGUUGCUAGCGUUGUCCGGAAUUACUAGGCGUAAAGGGCAGGUAGGCGGAUAGAUAAGUUUGAUGUUAAAGGCGACGGCUUACCCGUCGUAAGGCAUUAGAUACUGUUUAUCUGGAAUACGGUUGGGGAAGACAGAAUUCCUGGUGUAGCGGUGGAAUGCGCAGAGAUCAGGAGGAAUACCAAAGGCGAAGGCAGUCUUCUAAGCCGUUAUUGACGCUAAACUGCGAAGGUGUGGGUAUCAAACAGGAUUAGAUACCCUGGUAGUCCACACAGUAAACUUUUAUCACUAGGUGUCGGGUUCGAAGAGGAUUCGGUGCCGUAGCUAACGCGAUAA